rnacentral:tmRNA from 1 species
GGGGACGCGUGGUCUCGACAGUGGAAGCGUGCUACAGAAUUGCAGGCUGAGGUGCCAUCACCCUCAUUAAACAGGUGGCAAAAAACAACUGCCGAACCUGAAUUGGUUCUGGCUGGCUAAAUAAGCUAGCCCAUCCAGCCUGACCCCACCCCGGCGGGUUAGGGUCUGGGUGACGCAAAGUCGGGGUGCCGCCGCCCGCAUGCCGAUAAGGGCGACGAAAGACUAAUCGGCUGGCGCGGGAAGACUCGUUCAGUUGAGGCUUUUUGCGCAAGAUUAAAGAGCUGAAUAAUCCUGUAGUAGAUUCUGGGUCGCUUCUAUUGGACGGGGAGUUCGACUCUCCCCCGUCUCCACCA